GUGCGCUGCUCCAUGACGAAAACAAGCUUGAGCAAUGGCGAUGUCGAAUGGUGCACACUCGAAAAAUAACUUACCAGAAAUCGCGGCCACCGUUUCGUGUGCUGUUCCGCGACGAAGACAAGCUUUGAGCAACGGCAUAGUCGAACGGUACACAUUCACAUUUUCAUCAUACGAUCUCAGUUUAGGAAAGGAUUAAUUUUGUAUCCUGAGGUACUACUGUAUGAGUGCUGAGAGAUUUAAUUUUUUGAUGUUGCUGAUUUGAUGACAAGAGUACCAGACAAAUCAGAAGAGCUACAGACAAGUUUGCACCAUUCAGAGAAUUUUGGGAAAAAUUUAUACUUUAUUGCAAGAAGUGGUACAAUCCGAGUCCAAAUGUCACAACUGAUGAACAGCUUGUUGGGUUUCGAGGAUGCUGUCCGUUUUGUAUGUAUUUACCGAACUAGCCCAAU